rnacentral:rRNA from 1 species
CCUACGGGAGGCAGCAGUGAGGAAUAUUGGUCAAUGGACGCGAGUCUGAACCAGCCAAGUAGCGUGAAGGAUGACUGCCCUAUGGGUUGUAAACUUCUUUUAUAAGGGAAUAAAACGAGGCACGUGUGCCUUUUCGCAUGUACUUUAUGCAUAAGGAUCGGCUAACUCCGUGCCAGCAGCCGCGGUAAUACGGAGGAUCCGAGCGUUAUCCGGAUUUAUUGGGUUUAAAGGGAGCGUAGAUGGGUUGUUAAGUCAGUUGUGAAAGUUUGCGGCUCAACCGUAAAAUUGCAAUUGAUACUGGCAGUCUAGAGUACAGUUGAGGUAGGCGGAAUUCGUGGUGUAGCGGUGAAAUGCGUAGAGAUCACGAAGAACCCCGAUUGCGAAGGCAGCUUACUAAACUGUGACUGACAUUGAUGCUCGAAAGUGUGGGUAUCAAACAGGAUUAGAUACCCUUGUAGUC